ensembl:lncRNA
AGAGUGGAUAUGAGUUAGGUGGGAUGGUGGCUGUGAAAUGCUAAGCCUGUGCCUGGCACAGCAAGCACUCACUUAGGGGUGGUGCUGGUAGUUGUUCCUAUUGUUAUUGAUGACAGGGGUCUCAGGUCCUUUGUAGCUACCAUGCCCUCUACCUGAAGCACCCUCCUUACCCCUUCCACCCAUCUAAUCCCAUUCAUACUUCAGGCCUCGGCCUAACCAAGCACCCACCAUGUGCUGGGUCCUAGGAACAUGGUGGGGAGCAGCACCUUCCCUCCCUCCCAGCUGCUCCUUACAAGGGCCAGCCUGGGAUAGAAUCAGAUGACUUGGGUUCUUGUUCUAUCAACUUCCUGGGUGCCUCACGCAAGUCAUUUCUCCGAGGCCUCAGAUUACCCAACAAGGGGUCUAAGAAGAGCCCCGCAACCUUUGCUCCCCACAGCCAGCAUGCAGACCAUGAUGUGCACACAACCUGGAGAUAGAACAAGUCUUCCUGGCAUCUCCUCUCUGCUAUACUCUCCCAAGGGAAUCAUCAGGAACAACCCAGCUUCAUUAACUUAUGGGGGCAUCUGCAUCAUUUCACUUGUGGGAAAUUCCUCACUACCUCUUCACCAAGUAAUGGAUUUCAUGGGAAGCUAUGACAGUGGCCACAUGUUUAUCAAGGUGCCUGGCGAGCCUUCAUCGGGUGUUCACUGCUGCCUCCAGAGAUGGGAACCAUGUGCCACUCCUGCUUGACACUGAAAGCACUGCUUCCAAAUGUCUUCCCAGGGGUGGAGCCCAUGGAAAUUCUGGAUUUUAAGAAAUCUUUCACUGUUCACUUUCACCUCAACCUUUUUCCCCUCACCCCAAACCUAUAUAAAAGUUUAGGUAUCCUAUAUCCUUGUGGAAGAGAUACACAUCUUGCUCCAGCCCAGGUCACCCUCAGGGCACGAGAGGCAGUGGGUUAGCCCUGACCAGGUGGGGCCACCACAGGCCAGGAAGCAGGAAGGAAGGCAAGGGGAGACAAUGGAGGUCUGCUUUGGUAGUGACAAUCAGGGCCAGGCACUUUCCCUCACAUUCCCUUGGAUAGUAAUGAUAAUAGUUACUCCCCAAGCCCCUUGGAAUUGGAUGCAAAAUCGGAUGGGCUUGUGUGCAGGGUUUAGGGCUGGGGGCUCUAAGAUUUUAUUUUAUGUUUUUAAAGAUUUAUUUAUUUAUGAGAGAGAGAGACAGAGAGAGAGAGAGAGAGAGGCAGAGACACAGGAGGAGGGAGAAGCAGGCUCCAUGCUGGGAGCCCUAUACAGGACUCGAUCCCGGGACUCCAGGAUUGUGCCCUGGGUCAAAGGCAGGCGCUAAACCGCUGAGCCACCCAGGGAUCCCCCAGGGGUCUAAGAUUUUAGUUUUUAACUUCAGAUUCUUAAAAUACUCUGUGAUUCUCAAAGGAAGAGAGUCACUGAUUUGCUUGUUCGUGUGUGCUAUAGGCUGAGCACUUUUCAUGCUCUGUGUACGGUGCUGUGGGCUAGAGUACCUCUUAGGGCCAGCCUACUGAGCCAAUAUGAGUUGGCCAAGUCUUCACUGUGUAACCUUGGGCAUGUCGUGUUGCCCCAAAAUGCUCCAAAAGGGCUAGCCAUUAGUAUCAUCUCAUUGCUGCAUGAGAGCCUGAUGCCCAAGGUGCUAUGGGCUAUAAGAAACAGAGCAUCCGUCUAGGAGUUGCUUAAAUGAGAAGUUCAGCGGUCACUUCAGAGUGACCUCUGCAUUUCAAGGAUGUAUGUCCUCAAGGACCCAGUUUCCUUCCAUCUUUGUGCUCUGCCUUCUUAUUAGCAAGCUGGCAGAUAUAUUGAGGGAGGACCCAACAGGUACCACGGGCACCAGGUGAUCCAUGCAAGAUUCCUGUGCUCAUGGUCAGAGAGCAGAGGUGCCAGGAGCAUUUGAGAAAGUAGAAUAGAAUUAAUCAUUGCUCCCACUCCUUCAGCACCUAUGCAUGGGUCUCAUCUACAAUGGAGUACACUUUCCUGCCCCUGACUUUGGACUUGACCAUGUGACUUACUCUCACCUGUAGAACGGAACAGAAGUAAUAAUGUGCCAGUUCUGGGUAUGGACCGUAAGGGACCUUGUGUGCUUUCUUUCACCUGCCUGCUUGUGCCUUUGCUACCAUCAUGAGAACAAUUCCAGCUAGCCCACUAGUCCAGGGAGAAUGAGAGGCACAAGAGGCAGAGCUGUCCCAGCUGCCCCAUAUAACCACAGUGUUAGCAGAGCCACCCUAGCCACUGUGGCAGGUCACCCUGCAGAACCCAGCCUAGUCUGAACCACUAGACCCACCGAUCGUGAGAAUAAAUGGCUAUUGUUUCAAGCCA